AAUAAACCAUAUUAUUAUGGAAUAUUGGUAUUAUUUAUCAUUUAAGGAUAGGUAUUGUAUACUGUAUAAGUAUAUGAGCCGAGUGCCCGAGUAGGUACAUUUACUGAUGUAACGUGCAUUAUAUUCUUUAUUGACUUACUGGCUACGUACCUUUGAGCUAUAAAUGCUUUUAAAAAUAAAAACAAACUUAAUUUAAGCCUAAAUGACCUUCGUUGUACAAAAAUAAUAAGUCGUAGUUUUUACAAACUGGUUGUGUUGUAUGUACACUUUAAUAUUGUAAACCAUUAAAAUCAUUUAUUUUUUAACCGAUUGUACCUAUAGGUGAGUAGGUAGGCAACGAGACGUGUUGGCCGUCAAGAGAAUCGCUCUGUACACGCAUAAUGGAUAAUAUAUUUAGCCAUAUGAUUAUAUAAGCACAAAUUUCGUUUAAUACAAUAAUUUAAUAUUGACUGUUGAGUUUUUAAAUCUUGUAUAGAACAGUUUUAGAUAGGUACCAGGUACCUACUACCUAACUUGAGUCGUCCACGGAACGAGCUUUUCAAAGUUCGAAGACUUAUAUAUCUACACAAGUCCGAACACACCAGGACGGCGUGAUAUAGGUAAUGCGAUUUAAAUAAUUAAAUAUAAGCACUCAACUCGAAUGACUUAUACUAUAUCAUAAUUGAUCAUAAUAUUAUUAUUAUCGUGACGAACUACUCACAAAUGCACAAUGUAUACAAAUAAUAAUUACAAUAAUAAUCCGUGUUAGUAGUUUUCGAGAAGAUACCUUGAUCGGGUCUGGAUGUUUCAUGCAAACAGCAAGUUGCAAUGCUGUUUACUCGUAUAUGUAUAGGUACGACCUACGUGCCCUCAGUCUUGUGAGCUGUAAGCACAGCGCUGGCACCAUACGUCCGACAUGGGUCGAAAUUGCAACUUCGAGGUUACCAGCUGUGGUAUCAAUAUUGACCUACGGAAAGAAUGAUCCAAUUGAUCGAAGGAAUCAAUAAAUUGAUCGUCCUGCCAAUGAGCGCACGCCCUACUUUAUUUAGUCUAUAAUUAUAUUAUCUUUAAUAUAUUGUGUUUUGUUAAUUAUUAUUUACAAUAUGUUCUCAAAAUGUCUUAUACUUUAAGUCAUAUGAACUGUUAGUUGUAAUUACUUUCUGUUGUCGUUUAUUGUAUUCUUUAAUUAUAUUAAAUUGUAAUUGCACCUU